AGAGUUUGAUCCUGGCUCAGGACGAACGCUGGCGGCGUGCCUAAUACAUGCAAGUCGAGCGCAGGAAACCGUCUGAACCCUUCGGGGGGACGACGGUGGAAUGAGCGGCGGACGGGUGAGUAACACGUAAAGAACCUGCCCAUAGGUCUGGGAUAACCACGAGAAAUCGGGGCUAAUACCGGAUGUGUCAUCGGACCGCAUGGUCCGCUGAUGAAAGGCGCUUCGGCGUCGCCCAUGGAUGGCUUUGCGGUGCAUUAGCUAGUUGGUGGGGUAACGGCCCACCAAGGCGACGAUGCAUAGCCGACCUGAGAGGGUGAUCGGCCACACUGGGACUGAGACACGGCCCAGACUCCUACGGGAGGCAGCAGUAGGGAAUCUUCCACAAUGGACGAAAGUCUGAUGGAGCAACGCCGCGUGAACGAUGAAGGCUUUCGGGUCGUAAAGUUCUGUUGUAAGGGAAGAACAAGUGCCGCAGGCAAUGGCGGCACCUUGACGGUACCUUGCGAGAAAGCCACGGCUAACUACGUGCCAGCAGCCGCGGUAAUACGUAGGUGGCACGCGUUGUCCGGAAUUAUUGGGCGUAAAGCGCGCGCAGGCGGAUUGGUCAGUCUGUCUUAAAAGUUCGGGGCUUAACCCCGUGAUGGGAUGGAAACUGCCAAUCUAGAGUAUCGGAGAGGAAAGUGGAAUUCCUAGUGUAGCGG
rnacentral:rRNA from 1 species